rnacentral:rRNA from 1 species
ACUCCUACGGGAGGCAGCAGUGGGGAAUAUUGGACAAUGGGCGCAAGCCUGAUCCAGCAAUACCGCGUGUGUGAAGAAGACCUUCGGGUUGUAAAGCACUUUCAAUUGGGAGGAAAACCUACCGGUUAAUACCCGGCAGACUUGACAUUACCUGUAGAAG